GGGGUUGUGGCUCAGUGUUAGAGUGCUUGCUUCACAUGCAUGGAACACUGGGUUCGAUCCUCAGCACCACA
rnacentral:tRNA from 1 species